rnacentral:rRNA from 1 species
UACGGGGGGAGCAAGCGUUGUUCGGAUUUACUGGGCGUAAAGGGCGCGUAGGCGGUGCGGUAAGUCACUUGUGAAAUCUCUGAGCUUAACUCAGAACGGCCAAGUGAUACUGCAGUACUAGAGUGCAGAAGGGGCAAUCAGAAUUCUUGGUGUAGCGGUGAAAUGCGUAGAUAUGCGGAGGAACACCGAUGGCGAAGGCAAUCCCCUGGGCCUGCACUGACGCUCAUGCACGAAAGCGUGGGGAGCAAACAGG